ACAAUAAAACAUGGAUUGUUUAGC
rnacentral:piRNA from 1 species